rnacentral:rRNA from 1 species
CGGGACGGGCGAGUAAUGUCUGGGAAACUGCCUGAUGGAGGGGGGUAACUACUGGAAACGGUAGCUAAUACCGCAUAACGUCGCAAGACCAAAGAGGGGGACCUUCGGGCCUCUUGCCAUCGGAUGUGCCCAGAUGGGAUUAGCUAGUAGGUGGGGUAACGGCUCACCUAGGCGACGAUCCCUAGCUGGUCUGAGAGGAUGACCAGCCACACUGGACUGAGACACGGUCCAG